rnacentral:rRNA from 1 species
GUUUACAGCCAUGCCACCCUGAACAAGCCCAACCCCAUCUGAUCUCAGAAGCUAAACAGAUCCGGGCCUGGUUAGUACUUGGAUGGGAGACCACCUAAGAAGACUAGGUACUGUAGGCA